UAUCCAGACUCCUACGGGAGGCAGCAGUGAGGAAUAUUGGUCAAUGGGCGCGAGCCUGAACCAGCCAAGUCGCGUGAGGGAUGAAGGAUCUAUGGUUCGUAAACCUCUUUUAUAAGGGAAUAAAGUGCGGGACGCGUCCCGCUUCGCAUGUACCUUAUGAAUAAGGAUCGGCUAACUCCGUGCCAGCAGCCGCGGUAAUACGGAGGAUCCGAGCGUUAUCCGGAUUUAUUGGGUUUAAAGGGUGCGUAGGCGGCCUUUUAAGUCAGCGGUGAAAGUCUGUGGCUCAACCAUAGAAUUGCCGUUGAAACUGGGGGGCUUGAGUAUGUUUGAGGCAGGCGGAAUGCGUGGUGUAGCGGUGAAAUGCAUAGAUAUCACGCAGAACUCCGAUUGCGAAGGCAGCAUACCGGCGCUCAACUGACGCUCAUGCACGAAAGCGUGGGUAUCGAACAGGAUUAGAUACCCGUAA
rnacentral:rRNA from 1 species